CGUUGGCAUUGAAAGUCCGACAAGCGAGCUGCGAACAACGCUUCAUUCCCAGCAGCCCAGCCAACACCAAACAACCCCAUCUGAAGAAUUCUAACAAAAAAAAACCAAAAACAAAACAAAAAUGUCCCAAACAAUCAUUUGGUUUGCUUAAAAUUGGACACGCAAAUGACAUCAACAGGGAAAUUGAAUCCGAAAUCAGCCAAAUAAAUAAUUGCGAAUUAAUUGUGUUCAACUGUCAAAUAAUAACAUGAGAAGUGCCUGUCAAAUAUGCAUGUACAAAAUAAGUGGCAGUUUAAAAGGAAUCUUUUUGAAUUAAACAAAUUAUAUCUCGUUCGAAAUCAACUUAAUUUGAAGUGCAUUUAUUUGUGUGUUUGCGGAAGAAAUACAAAUGCAAAACAAAAUUCCAACCAUGUUGAUUACGUGCCCCAAAACAUGUGAGUUCUGGUUAUAUAAAGAAAGAAACAACAACAAAGAUACGAAAUACUUGUACAAAUAAGGGAAAUGUCAGUGAAAAAUGAAAUGGAAAAGGAACAAAAAUUGCAUCAUCAAAGUGGAAUGGAAUGGGGGGUAACCACCAUUGCAUCUGCUGAUCAAAGGUAAGCCUUAGACACAUAUAGAAAAAUCUAGAAAAUAUAAAUAUUCCAAAAUCCCAUUGUUAUCUACAUAAAUUCAUUGGAAAUAAAAGUUUGUUUUGGGAAUUCCCUUCACUUGAAUUUGAUUAUUGCUGAACGCAGAUUAGAACAUAACAUACGAUAAUUUUAUAGCAUACAAUAUACAUAUGAGAAAUACAUUUGUCUAUAUGUAUGCACAUAUGUACAUAUAUCGAAGCACACACGUGACUGCAAAAAUAAAUACAUACGUAAAUAUGUACGAGUAAAGGAACAGGACUGGGACAGCAGUAGCUUUACUGCGUCUUCGUUUUCUUUUGAGUUUUCGUCUGUUUAGGGUCUAAGAAACGUAGAUAAAUCGUAUCUCUCAGAGUGAUAUUGCCAAACCCUCUAGUACCUUGAUCUAAUCAUGGAUCUGGGUAGAACGUGCUUAUUUUCUGCCAGGAUCCUGCUCUGGUCAGAUCUCACAUGUUUUGUGAAAUUUUGUUUUGUUUCGGCGCAACAAAAACAGGAAUUCGGGAAAAGCAAAAGUCAUCACACACCCACAAACAAACACACACGUAAACGCAAAGAUAAAAGUUUGCAGCUAUGUACAUGUAUGGAUGGGAGAGAGGCUAUAGAAAAGGAGAGAAGAGAACUCAUUUUCGUCAAGAAAAAAAAAGCAGAAACAAAUGUGCAACGUAUACAGAGGCAAGCAUGAGGCAAAAAAAGAACGUGGAUAAUAAUGAAUGAAAGAAUGGUAGAGGAAGCAACAGCAAUACAGAGAAAGAGAGACAAAGAGCAAGGCAGAGAGGGAAAGAGAGCCAAUUGAAGGCCAUCAGGCCGAGCGUCGUCAUGUGGUUUGAGUGUAGGCAACAUCGGUGUGUGGGGCAGUAGGGCAACCCAAAAGGUGGCAAGCAAAAGCGAAACAGCAACAGGAACAGCGGGAUACAGCAAAGCCAGAGCAAAAUCAAAGAAUCAGGAACAGGAAAAUGUGAAAAAAAAACUUGACGAAACUGAAGCAGCGUCGAAAAGAGAGACAGAGAGAGAGAGAGCGAGAGAGCGGCGCUCAAAAGCCAAACUAGAAAGAUAGAAAAGAAACUCUGCCGGCGCGCCGUUAGCGACUGCGCUCGCAGCAGAGAACGGCCAGAACAGCGCGAGAACUUUCCAUGCGGCCUGACAGACAUUGCAGCGGCACCUUCAACCGAUCGCAGGCCCACAAACACACGACCCUCCAUAAUAGUACAUUAAAUAAUACUACGCGUUCCGUGUUUUUUCUGUGACGCAUCAAUAUCCUGAAGGAACACAGUAGAAUACAACCCCCCAGUUAACUGAAAACAAAGUGUUUGACAAAGAAAAAAAAUACAUAAAAGCAGGAGCGGAACCAACCGGAGAGUAAAUGAGAGAAAUUUCGCGGCACUGCGUCAGCAUGGAAAUUUAAUUAGCGACAGUUCAGUGCAGCUGAGCGGAGACAGGGGCCAGGCUCAAUCAGAAUUCCCGCAACGGGGACGCCACACUGUGAGGAGAGAGAGGAGGAGCACAAAAAACAAAUUUUGUUGAAUUUUGCAUGACGACAGCAAAAAGCAAGCGACGGGAAAACAAUCGAAGUGCACCACGGACCCACACUGCAACUGUGUUUGCUCGUGCGAGUGUGUGUGUGUGUGAGAGAGAGGGAGAGAGCGAGCGGACAAACAAAUAUGGCGCAGUCAUGCGCACUCUCUGAGAAACUUGAACUUGAAAACCGGCAAACCGAGAGAGGGAGAAACAGCCAGAGUGAGUGAGAGAGCGAGCAGAGCAGAGCAGGGAAAGGGCACCCACACAUGCAAGCAGAACACGCACCCACAGAAAGAGACAGAGAGACCCUCUGCCUUGCAGUUCUCUCUUUUGGAAUAUGCAACACACUUCCUUACGUACAUAUAUCCUGGAUUGUUUGGUAUUCUUGAGCCUUGACCUUUCCACGCCCGUGCAGCAAUCUGCGUAGGCAGCUCAUACACACACACACAUCCACUCGAACAUAUACAAUAGGUACAUAUAGAGAACAUCCCACAAGUCGGCUGGCAGCUGUUGGGCCCGAGCGCACGGAAUAGGUCCGAAACGGACCAAAAGAGUGGUCAACCGAUGGAAAUAAUGCAAAAAAAAUAUACAUAAUAAAUAAAUGCAUACCGAUUAAAUAUAACAUGGAGUGUUUAGAGGUCGUGUAUCGAUUAAUUUGCAUAUUUUUGGUGAGCUUGCAGAUAUUUUUAAUUACAAUUCAUCAAUACGGUGCUAAGGGAUUCUAUGCAUUUUUAUUUCCCUAAAUGGGUUCGAAAGUCCCAAGUUUUAGUUUCAAAAUAUUGUGAAAUAUAAGUUUCAGAUGAAGAUCAGCUAGAAAUGGUGAAAUUCAAUGCAAUGGCAAUUAUUGGAAAUGCAUAAAGUAUUUUAGUAUAGGAAGUGCCCGAAACAGCUUGGACUGCAGCCACCCACACACACCUGCAUACAUCGAGAGGGAGGAGCGAGCGAGCGAGCGAAAUAGUUUGUGUCCGCGCUGAGCUUUCAGCUGAAAGCUCUUCCGUGUCUCGUGUCUCUGUGCAACUGCCGUUGGGAUACACCCUGUGCUCGCUUUGAAUAUGGUGCAAGCAAGUGAACACAGCUGGUGGUAUCCAAUGGCCGUUCUGCAACAAUGCAACAUCAGAAAGAACAACAGCAACGAGAACAACAACAAUUACAGGGUGAGUCAUGCCACAGUUGAACAUUUCGUUUAAUCUUUUGUUUUUUUUUUUGUGUUGAAAUAACAUAUCGUUUCGCAAGUCCAAUUUAUCAACAGUUUUUCAUUUCUUUUACUUUGUAACGAACUUUAAUUUUGCCAUACUAAAAAUGAAAAUUUCCUUAGCCAUAAGCUUCAGUUGGAUUCAUUUAAAAAAAACCCCCCUUAAAGAAAAACAAACAAAAGAUAAAUUGGAAUUUGAGUAAAAUAAUCUUAAGAGUUUAAGCAUCGUUUUAGAAAAUAAUCAGUGAGAGAAAACAAAAAUUGCAUAUGAUUCUAUUCAGCAUUUUCUUGAUAUCCAUUUAAAAUAUUUCAUUUCGUUUCGAAUUUGAUUUACAUUUACAUUUGAUUUGACUGCUUUUCCCCUCUUAUACCCCCUCGCCCUGCACACACAAACUUGCAGCGCUCAUCCAUCCAUCAGGCGGGGGGAGGCGGGGGUGCGGACAUGCAACGCAACGCUCUGAAAACGCCUGAAAACAUUAAUUAUGCCACACACACACACCGAACAGCAAUCCGUCCGUAGUAAUGAGUGAAAUUUACAAAGCAGCGAAAUCUCUGGCAGAAACAAUUAAAAAGAUUUUCAUGCUGCAAAUUGAUUUGGUUUGUUAUUUAUAUUUAUCUCUCUAUUCCCCCCUACCAUCCCCCAUUCCCCGCUGCCACGGGGUUUUCUCCCAAUCCAAUCGCCUGGCGUGGCUGCAACAAAUGCUGCAAAAUGAAAACCAUUUGGUUUGCCAUUUUCUAUUUUCGUUUCGCUUUGCCUUUUUGGCUCACUGACAAUCUUCGGAUUGAGGGGUGAGGGGUGAGGGGUGGGUGCCACGGUGUGAAUUGGCCAUCCACGAGUGGGUUCUGGGCUCUGGCAAAGGCAUGCUCUGGUGACAUUAUUUCGACAUUUGUUGCAGCCACUUUUGUCACUUUGCAUUUCAAAUGACCGUCAAUUAUCCUUUGUCGACACUCUCCCUCUAGUAUCGCUCUCCCAUCGCUCUGUCUCUGUCUGUCCCCACCUCUGCUUGGGACCCCAUGAGGUCAAGGAAAACGAAAUUGAUUUUCUUUCUGCUCGAACACGUUUCUUCUUUGUACAAAAGUACAUAUACUAUUUCUUUUUCACGUUAUGCAAUCGCUUUGGGUUUUGUCAUUGCAAUGCGUCCUUUUUUUUCGACACCACUAAAAAGAGAUGGAAAAAUCAAACGAUUGUCACCGGAUCGGUCAUCCCAUCGACUUGUGUGCAUUCUAUUCGACGCAGUUCCGUGGCUGUUCCAGCCGAUGGAUGACCUCAUGACAAGUCUAUGAUGAAUUACGCUGCUUGUUCGCGUAUAAAAUAAUGCCAUCAAACUCAAUAAAAAACUAUAACUUACGCAAUCGCAUGAAAUAGGUAACAAGUUCCAGCUAAAAGUUAAAGCUAGCUGCUAUUCUUAGAAACGUGAGAGAACCAGAUAAAAUCAAUAUCUCAUGAAAGAACCAAAGGUUAACAUUUUAUUUAUUCAUUUGUGGUUGGGAGAUUGAAACUCUUUUAUAGAUAAUAUAUACUAUAUUUAUUUUAUACUCUUACUCUACGCUAACGAUUAAAGUUCAUACAGAGGAACUAUCUAAACCACAUCUGUACAUCUUUAUGAGAAAAAAAUGGGUUUUUUAAGCAGAUCCCCCCAGUUGGCAGAGACUCUUCUUUUUUAAAGGUUCUUGGAACAGAGGGUACUUGUAUUUGGAAUCCCUAUUUGUUGAAAAACCUACUUUUCAAGUCGCUUAUUUUGUAAAAUCUUUAAACUCAAUUUUAUCUAUAAUUCUAUUGGGUAUUUUUAGCGGUCCCCGCGUUGGGUUGCUUUAAAUCAUUUAACACACAAAUGUGUCAGAUUAAAUUUGUGUCGAAAUUAUAACAGUAACAGGGAAACGGGAGAACUGGGCAGGGAGGGGGACACUAAUCACACGAAAGGCUUCGGGCCAUGCAUGAUGCAUGACAAGAUUAACAAUUGCGAUACCAGCUGUGUCGGGCUGGCCUGGCCUCAAACAAAAUAAUCGCGGUGGAAAACUGAAUUUUCAAUUUAAGGUUGACCUUAGAGCAAAAUUUGAUCGAUAAUUUCGCAUAAUUGGGGGGCUCUCACGGAAAAAAUACAAAACUGUGACAUGCACAAAGAGAGAGAGAGAGAGAGAGAGAGAGAGAAAUACAUACAUACAUACCGAGACCUUGAACAUUAACGCCCAAUGCAAGCUGCAACUGCGACAUGAGAGAUACUCGUAGGUGUGAGGGAGAUGCAGGCACAGGCACUGGCCCACUCGGAGCUUGUGCGAGAGCGAUAGAUAAAAAGAGAGACAGCGCCAGGGUGAGUGAGUGAGUGAGUGCAGUGACAAAAGCUUUGCCACCAAAAGCACGCUCUCUCCCUAUCUUUGCGUGUCGUGUCGUGUCGCUUCAUAUGGAAUGCCGAGUGUUAGCUUUCGAACGGAACCGAAACGAGCAGCUGACAGUUGAGCUUCAGCAUUAGACCAAGUAGUUUGACUUUUUAGUUUUUCGAAACGAAACGCGAAACGAAAUGAAAAGUUUGCCGACAAGUGUGCGUGUUCGUGUACGUGUGUUCGUGCGUGUGCUUGUCCAUGUGCCUGUGUGUGUUGCUGUUGUGGCAGCUGCUGCACUUGCAGGCGUUGCAGCGAGAGAAGACCGUACAGAAAUAAAUUCCGCCCUGCAUUUAGUAUAUUUCACCUUAGAGCGUCUUUGGUCGGCCACACACACACACAAACCCCUUCGCACACACACAACAAACACACACACGCGCUGCAAGUUUCUUUCAUUCACGUCCGCGUGGCCAUCAAAACGGAAAGCAUUGUCGGUUCGCGUCGCGCUGCAACGUUCGGCUAAAAGAAAAUCGGCCUAAAAUUGUAACAGUUUUCCUUUGCAACGAAACGCCAAAAACACGCUGCAGUCGCUGCUGCAGUAGACGCUGGCGUCGUCGCCGUCGCCGUCUCUGCCGCUGACGCUGACGAUGUGAGGCCAGCCGCUGGCUGCGGCCGCUGUCGGCUGCUUGCCUGCACCCGGUCAGCGUCAGUGUUCAUUUCCCCAUCGAGUCGGCCACACACGGGCAGGAGGCGUCCAACUGAGGCGCAGGUGGCCAGCGGCAGGUGUGGACGUACGUAGGACAGAGGCAUCCGACAGUCAGUUGUGGAUUUCGUUGCGGAUUUGCCGGAUUCGAGCACGGAUUUCGAGGCAGUGGCGGCUCCAGUGGCUCCACAGCGGUUUUGUUUCCCCCCCAGUCCAGUCCAGCCACAGUUUUCGUUUUGAGUUUUCCCCGCAAGUGUUUUCUUUGUGUUUGUUUCCCUCGUUGUGGAUUGCAUGGGAUUGCAUAAACAACAGCAACAUUUGGGCCUUCGUAUACGUAACAUUAUUUCAGUUCAAUUCGUAAAGCAACGGCUCGGCACAUCUGCACUGCAAUUGCAUUAUAAUUUGUUGUUUUAGUACUUCCCUGGGGAUUAUGCAAUUGCACACUGGCAACUGCAACAACAGCAACAACAACACAGUUGUUGGAGAGACACCCUGUAAUUGCCACGGUACGAAACAAUGCCAAUGCAAUGUGAACAAUUUUACGGGACCCACACACUCCGUAACAGAUACAGAUACAGAUACAAAUAGCUCUCAAACACACACUAUAGUGUUCGGCGUCUGGCCUGGCAAUUUGUUUAAAACAAUCAGCGGCCACUGUGCGGCGGCCUUCCCUCUCUUUCACACCGCAGGUAGUGUUGCCCUCUCGCUUGCUGAAUGUUUUAAAUUUAGUUUUUCUGCACUUGCUUGUAACCCAAAUUUUCCUUUUUGGUGGCAUAUCCAUUUGAAUCUUAUAUAAGAUGCAGGCAGCAUUUAGCUCAAACAAUGUCAGGCACUGGGGUGGCAGAGAAAGGGUUACAGGGUCACAAAGGGGGAGGGGAGAGAGAGAGAGAGACGACGACAGAGUACACCUGAAGUUAAUUGCAAAAAAAAAGCGGAUUUAAUUCCCCAAGUGAAGCGGAAUCUUGGCUCAAUUAAAGCCCAGCUUUGGCAGGCGGCGGCACCACAUGAAAGGCACAACAGAAAUACAUACAAGCGAUAAACUAACAAUUUUAGUAUGGCAGAAAGAGAGAGACAGCAAAGACGAGCAGCACUUGCAAUUUGAGAGAUUCAAAGCAACAAAAACAAUCCCCAAACACACACACACACGCACACACGUAAUCACUUGACCUUGCACGGUUUUUGCAAUACAAACAAAAUAUAUACAGAUAUAUGUGUAUCGCAUAGAUACAAUUCAAGCAUGUGUAGAGGUAACAGCCAAUUGCAAUAUUUUCGUGUAAAAAUAACGAAUAGAACAGAACAGAGCAGACUUUUAUAUAAGACCCCACACAUACACACACACACACUAGGGGAGACUGUGCCACUGUGUGGGUGUGUAUCUGUGUGGGUGAUGAAAUAACUGCAAUGCCUCCGCCAUGAGGUCGAUUUUUGUUGGCUUUUCACACACAUAUGUAUGUAUAUAUAGAGGCAACACACACUCACUCUGAUAUGUGGGGUAUGUGGGGGGCGGAUGACUGAAAAAUGCAUUUGACACAGAAAGCAGAGCACAGAGCAGCAAACACACAAACAUAUAUCGAACAGAUAAUGUCACAGCCCAGGCUGAUUCAGAUAUUAUCCUAAAUAAUACACUAUCUGACAUAUAUAACAUGAUUCAUGGAAUCGCUGAUUGAUUUGAGGCCCAAGGGAGGCACACAUUUCGCGAGUCGCCAAACCAGUUAGAAGGCCUUCAACUUCAAGCUAAAAAACCCAUAGAAAAACAACUUUGAUACAAGAGAAAUCUGCGUAAAAGUGUGUUCCAAACAAAACGAAAACAUUUCACUCGAAUAUUUGUAUAUUUAGCAUAUCAAAUUUGAUAGGUAUAUGCCAUUGGACUUUGCAGUCCGUUCUUUUUGUUUAAAUUGUAGAACACAGAACUUAGCCCAGGAGCUCGAACGUAUAUUUUAUAUGUAGAUUCAGCUAAAUUUGCAUUUGGAAUUUGAACUUUAACUGAUAUCAGCCGUAGACAGCCCCAGACAGAGACCAUCCCAAACACGUCGACUGUCAUGAACAGAUAUCGUUAUGACAUCAUUGCCGGCGUCACUUAGUGAUGGAUCGUUAGCUAUAUACCACAAAGUAUAUAUGUAUGUACCAUUUACAUAUGUUAGUCAGCGUUUAUUUGGAAGCUGCUUGACGUACGAGAGUAUUUAGUUGUUUUGCUGAUAAGUCCAGUCUAGCAGUCUGAAUGAAUCACGUGUUUCAGUAGGUUCGUUUGGGGUCCCAGCAUUCGAAAGUUUCCAAGUGCUUAAAUAUACAUUCACGCUCUUUGGAUGUCUUUUGUUUCGAAAGUUUGCUGUUAAAAGGCGACCUUCAGCCCGGGCCGCAAGGUCAUAUGUGGAGGAGAUUCCAUUGCAGCAGCCUGCUAAACUAUACCAAAUGGAGGUCAAUCUCGGCCUCCUGCAACGCGACCGCCCCUUCGUCCUUCACAGCACAGCAGUUAUGUAAAGAAGGAAGUGGGUCAGUGUUACGACCCAGAUUCCCCCAAGUGGGGUAGGGGGGGAGGGGAAUUCCCAUCCUCAGCCUGCAGUUUGAUUAGUUUGAAAUGUGUUUUUUUGGCACCUCAAAUAAUUACAGCUGGAUGGGCCGCUUCGGGCCUUGCGGCCGCCUGGCUAUUGAUUUUUGGUCGGGCCGUCAGUUAUGCGCUGCUGCACUGAAUACAGUAUAUAUAGUAUAGCCAACCUAGAUAACUUUGGCAUGGCCCAAGAGUGUACGACUAUAAGUAUCUAUCGGAUACAUAGGCACUGCCUGGCUGCAGUUCGCGAGCUUAGCCAAGGAGCCAAAAAUAAAGAUUCUUUUUGGCACUGGGCCAAUAUUGCAAUGCACAUUUUGCAAGGGAGGAAAGAACGAGGGACGGACAGGGGGGUUGCACUGCAGGGUAAAAUGAAAAGUGAAAUGUUGCCAUGCGAAGUGGAAAGAAAAAGAACAAGAACAAGAGCAUCUAUCUAUCUAUCUAUAUCUAUAUAUAUGUGUUUGCCAGAGAGCUCUGACAUUUAUUAGUUUGCUGCCCCGUAAAACGAAGUCGUGAAGUGCUCUAUAAAUAUGACCAAAAUGCACUCGAAAUGACAAAUUUAUGGCCAACUGCAUAACUCAUCUAUUGCCCACCUCUGACCCAUCGGCUUCCACCUACUCCUGCCCCCCCCCCCCCCCUUUUUCUGUGGCACAUUGAAUGCACACUUGUGUGUCACUUCGCUUUGCCACUUAUUACAUCACCAAGAAGGCAAUCGACACGAUACGAUACGAUACGAUAGACUUUGCUUAAGGCCUUUACCGAUUUGGGUCAACCUGAGCCUGCCAACAAAUCUUCACAGACACACACGCACACACACUCUUUGAUAUCAGGUUUUGUCGAUGGGUUUUUAGUCGUCCUAGUCGAAGGCACUUUUGUUGUUCUUAGCCAAACAAGAGUUAAAGUUAAAAGUUAGAGGCAGAACAUUAAAGAUUUAAGUGUGCCAGGGCGUUGACGAGUUCAUUCAUUACAUUUCCCCUGUCUUUCGUAGGUCUUUCCUUUCUAUCUAUAUCAGCCCCUGCUCCUCUUAAUCUUUCGGUCUUUCAAAAAUAUAUUCUCAUUAGCUAUCACGCCUUUGGCGCAUGACUCAGUUUUUUAGCUGUUGUCUUUAAUUUUAGACAAAAUCCCCAUAAAAACAGCCGAAAAAUACCGCCUUAUGCUGCCACAACAGUCGUCAUUAGUUAGCUGCGUCAAUUGUUGUUAUUUAUAAACGCCGCUGUGGCAAAUUCAUCUGGAAUACUCGUACAUUGGAAUACAUGGAAUUUCUUCUUUCUACUUCCAUAUCGCUGUGACUGUGCGUCUGUUGCUAAGCGAGAGCCCGCGCUCACUUGAAAUAACCGAAAAAUCAUUCAUAAAAUUUGUGAAAUAUUUUGCCCGUCAGACAGACAGCACAAGGGUUGCCAUUCUAUGCUUUUGUCUGUCUCCCCGUCUGGUCUGGUCGGGUCUGGCCUGUCGGCAGAUAAAGCACGUCUGGAAUAGCAAACAUUCCACAAUUGGUAUUACGUAUACGCAGCGUUCUCCAAGCGAUAUGCGUUUCUUCUCUCAGAUGAUUGUGUGUGCGCGCGUGCGUUGGCUUCUACACACAGAUAUAGCUGUACAUAUGUAUAUAUAUAACUACUAUAUGUAUUGUGGACUUGUGUGGGUAUGUGUGUGUGUCUGUUUAGCAGAUAAUACGACUGCCAGAGUCCGCGUGCGUGUUUUGUGACUCGGCCGCGCCGAUCAUGCGACCUACCAAAUUGGUUAACGAGAAGGAAACACGUUCUUUCUAAUGAACACUUUUCAUUGAGUGUAUUUGUAUUUUGUUGGAGAGAGAGAGAGAGAGGAGCUUAGGUGUUUUGGGUAUAUUCUGCUUCUGCUUCUGUUGCUCUUUCUUUACCCCCAAAAUCCAUUUUCCCGCUCUUCGAGUGUCUGUUUGCAUUUGCAAAUACUUUUUUGGCCAAGUCAAACUGUAAUUUAUCUAAGUAGCGUUAUGGGCCACUUCCGGUGACGACAACACUUCUUCGAAACUUUGUUGGCACUGGCAGCUUUGAUGACCCAGAUAGUGGAAGUAAACGUGUUGUUGUUUGUGGGUGGAGGGGGGAGGGGCACGGGUCGGUGCUUCAUAAAGUGCUAAUGAAAAAUGCUCAGCAUUUGCCUAAUGAAAUUAUAACUGAGCCACUAAGUGCGCCAUAAAGAGGGAAGAAAAGUGGUAGGGGGGCUAGGGGUGGAGUACUACUGAUGUUUUGGGGCAUUUUAGAAAAUUUUUUUCGUGGCAUAGAAACCAAAAACCAAACCGCAUUUCGUUGCUUUUUAUUCAGUUAACGCUUUUUAAGCUUAUGAGCGAGCCAGCUUUUCAUUUAUCGAUACGCCCCAUAAACACACACCUAAGCACUCACACGCACACGCACACAGAGCGACUGUAAUGAACAAUAAUUUAUUUAAUUGACCGAGCUCUUGUUCUUUCGAAAUUAGAACACACACAGGCACACACAGAGACACUCAAGCACUCGGUUUGCUGGCACGCGAUUAAAAAAAACAACAACACUGAAUGGUUUACACAUACUCGUAUUAUGAAUUUUUAUAAGCAGAAACUUUUCAUUGGCUGUCAGUCGUCUUUCCAAAACUUAGUCCACAUUUUUAUUCGUAUGUGGCAUCCAUACCCUUCGCUGCCACAGAUGACGCAUCACGUGUACGCGGCGUGUGUUUUUUUUUUUUGGAAAUUGUUAAAAUUCUGUUACUUUUUCCGUCCCACAAAUAUGGAUUUUGUUUUUUAAUUUGCUGCUUUUCUUUUUCUUGGUGUUUGGUUCGCUUUUCGUGUCGUUUCUUUUUUUUUUUUUUUGUUAAUUUGAGCCCAAUGCCUGCUCAAUGUUUGGCCUCGUUUUGGAUUUAUUUUGCCGCACCCCGAGAGUCGAGUAAAAAGCAGCCAUGCAAGUCGAGAUCGAAGGCUGCCUUUGGCAGAAUACAAAAAACGAAUCUUUGCUCCAAAUAACAUUUGGAACUGUUUGGAUGGGCAGGGGAUCAUAAAUGCUGUGGGAGUCCCCCCCCCCCCCCCACAUGCAUCGUGUACCCUGUACAUUUAUCAGCUUAUAAUCGUCUUUCCUAUCUUAUCUCCUGGUCAGGGCGGGGGAGCAAUUCAUGUUUUACUUUGUCAGUUUCCGCAUGGAUUUAACCGGUGACUGAUGGGCCCCCGAGAGCAUACUUAGAGGGAGCAAACGACAUUUUUUGUGACAUACAAAUGACUUGUAUAACCGAUCACCGAUCGGCAAUCAGCGAUCCGCAUCGACCCACUUUCCACCAGCAACGGGUGGGCCUUAUCGGCUCCGCACCUUGGCACCUGCGAUUGCUUAUCACUCAUUUUCGAUGGGGGCUGACAUGGGUGUUUCCGUUGGAUCGGAUCGCGCACACAAAUCGCUGGUGGUUCAUUGCACCUUCUCUCGCCCCACAUGUUCAGCUUUAUUCUGCAUGAGUUUCGGUUUUUUUCUUGAUUUUUCUGUUAGUUCGUGUUCCCUCGUAUCCCUUCUUUUUUUUGUUUCUGUUCUGCCAAAUCCAGUAACAGCUGCAGGAAAAUCCACUGACUGCCACAGUCGCUGCCACGCCCACGCCCACGCCCAGACUGGCUACGCGACCGCGACGGGCUGAAAAACAAACGAUUAAACGAUAAACCGAUAUAUGCGACAACGAUAAACGAUUAACUGAGCAUCCUUUGAAGGUUUUGGGUUGCGUGUCAGGAGUGCAUUUGCACUGAAACAUUCUGAAGCUUGUAAAUGCACUAUCUGGUACGACAUUCCAGAACGUACAAUCUUCCC